AGAUGCAGUAGGAAUGACCAGGGAUGUUUUCUUGAUAACAUCAGUAGAACACCCCUGACUCUCCUCCACCAGUCAUACAAGGAGAAUGGUCUAAUGCCUCCCAUCAAAAAGAGCUGACCCAAGCAAGCAAAGGCAGCAGCGCAGUCAUCAACUACAUGCACCAUUUUUUCACCAACUACAGAUUUGAGCAAACACCUGUGGACCUGAAUUGUGAAUACGGCAGUGGCCAAAACAAGAACAAGUUUGUGCCUGGUGGACCAUGCACAAGCUACACCAUACUCUGGACCUUCACUUCCUGAUCACAGGCCACACCAAGUUUGCCCCCGACUGGUGCUUCGGCCUCAUCAAGCAGCACUUCAGAAAGACCAGAGUGAACACUUUGUCUGAGAUUGCUGGUGUUGUGAAGGACAGCACUGUGACAGGGGUCAACAUCCCACAGCUGGUUGGACUGGAGGAUGGAACGCUGUUGGUGGAAAGCUAUGGCUGGCAACAACACCUGACUCCGUACUUCAGGCCACUGCCACAGAUCAAGCAGUACCAGCACUUCAGGUUCGAUGCUCUGGAGCCUGGUGUUGUUGUCGCCAAGGUUCAC
rnacentral:lncRNA from 1 species